UUUUUUCUGUCUAUGAAGAAAUAACAUAAAAAAUUUGGUGCACACUGAAUAACGCGCGUAGCGGGUUAUUUAACAGUGUGCACCACAUUUUUUAUGUUAUUUCGAAUAGACAGAAAAAAUAUUACAGUCAUUUCUUAUAACUUAAUUCUAAAUUCCAUUUUAAACAGUAGAAAACCCUGAAAAAACGUUGAUGACGUCACGGUCAC
rnacentral:lncRNA from 1 species